UACGAAGGGGGCUAGCGUUGCUCGGAAUUACUGGGCGUAAAGGGAGCGUAGGCGGACUGUUUAGUCAGAGGUGAAAGCCCAGGGCUCAACCUUGGAAUUGCCUUUGAUACUGGCAGUCUUGAGUACGGAAGAGGUAUGUGGAACUCCGAGUGUAGAGGUGAAAUUCGUAGAUAUUCGGAAGAACACCAGUGGCGAAGGCGACAUACUGGUCCGUUACUGACGCUGAGGCUCGAAAGCGUGGGGAGCCAAACAGGG
rnacentral:rRNA from 1 species